CUUAGCUGAAGAAAGUUUGGUGAACUUCAGUUCAGACUGAGGCCUGUUAACAGCAGGAAGAGUCGAGCCUACAGCUACAGAGGAUUCAGUGCUCGAUGACAUUAAUAAGAUCCAGAUCCAAGAGUUAGACAGCUGUGAUCUCCCUUAUCCUCUGCCUUGCAGCUUGCUCUUCUUUUUUCCUCUUUCAUUUUCCUUCUAUUGUGACAAGUCAGUGGGGAUGGAGGACAAUCCCCAGUGGAAGACACCCAGCCUAUAGAUGAACAUGGGUGCCUGUGCAGCACUAACACAGCUAUUAUAUUUACGAUUGGAACCUAAGAUGGUAACAGCAACUCAAGAUAUGUUGGGAUCAGACAGUCAACAUACCAAAAGGAUGUUGAACUACUAACUUUUUUAUGUAGCAAGGCUGUCUGUUUCUAAGACUAGUAUUUGUUUAUUUUAUGACAUU